GGAAGAUCAUGGCAAGGUCUUGGCAAGACGCUAAUCUUGGCAAGAUCUUGCCAAGAUAUUACCAAUAUCUUGCCAAGAUUAUUCAAUCUUGUCAUACUUGCCAAAAUCUUGCCAAGAUUGUCUGAAAUUCUUGUCAAGAUCUUGCCAAGAUCUUUC